GACGAACGCUGGCGGCGUGCUUAACACAUGCAAGUCGAACGAUGAACCCGGAGCUUGCUCCGGUGGAUUAGUGGCGAACGGGUGAGCAACACGUGAGUAACCUGCCCUUGACUCUGGGAUAACUGCGGGAAACUGUAGCUAAUACCGGAUACGACCCUCGGCGGCAUCGCCAGGGGGUGGAAAGAAUUUCGGUCAAGGAUGGACUCGCGGCCUAUCAGCUAGUUGGUGAGGUAACGGCUCACCAAGGCGACGACGGAUAGCCGGCCUGAGAGGGUGACCGGGCACACUGGGACUGAGACACGGCCCAGACUCCUACGGGAAGCAGCAGUGGGGAGUAUUGCACAAUGGGCGCAAGCCUGAUGCAGCAACUCCGCGUGAGGGACGACGGCCUUCGGGUUGUAAACCUCUUUUAGUAGGGAAGAAGCGAAAGAGACGGUACCUGCAGAAAAAGCACCGGCUAACUACGUGCCAGCCGCCGCGGUAA
rnacentral:rRNA from 1 species